GACGAACGCUGGCGGCGUGCUUAACACAUGCAAGUCGAACGGAAAGGCCCUGCUUGCAGGGUACUCGAGUGGCGAACGGGUGAGUAACACGUGGGUGAUCUGCCCUGCACUUCGGGAUAAGCUUGGGAAACUGGGUCUAAUACCGGAUAGGAGCCAUCUUUAGUGUGGUGGUUGGAAAGUUUUUUCGGUGUAGGAUGAGCUCGCGGCCUAUCAGCUUGUUGGUGGGGUAAUGGCCUACCAAGGCGGCGACGGGUAGCCGGCCUGAGAGGGUGUACGGCCACAUUGGGACUGAGAUACGGCCCAGACUCCUACGGGAGGCGGCAGUGGGGAAUAUUGCACAAUGGGCGCAAGCCUGAUGCAGCGACGCCGCGUGGGGGAUGAAGGCCUUCGGGUUGUAAACUCCUUUCGCUAGGGACGAAGCUUUUUGUGACGGUACCUAGAUAAGAAGCACCGGCUAACUACGUG
rnacentral:rRNA from 1 species